CCGUAUUUACACAAAAACUGCCAUCGGCAGGAAAUAUCUCGCGAAUCGUUUUCGCCCAUCGCCCCUCCCUCACACCCAACCCCUCCCGAGUGAACACAGCAGGCGACCGGCGGCGUCCCGACCUCGAUCCCGUGCCGCCCGGGCGCGCCGCCGGCCCGACCCGUCGGAUCGUCAUCUUCCCCCGCCGGAUCCGCCCCUUCCAUAGCCGGCCCCCUCGUUCCCAUCCUUCUACGUCUCCCGACCGCUGCUCGAUGCCCCGUCUCCCGAUGCCUCCCGCCGCCCGUCUCCCGACCGCCGCCCGACCAAGCUCCGCCGGCCUCCUCCGUCGUUCCCUCCGCUCCUCUGUCUAGUUUUCCUCCGUCCGCCUGACCAAGCUGCGCCGGCCUCCUCCACUGACCGUGCCCACCUCCAGCGGCAGCUAGGUGAUCAUCUCCCUUUCGUUUUCCCCUUUGUAUUCUAUGAUUUCUGUAGCUAUGAACUGGCAGCAAGAUUUGUGUAGCUAUGAAGUGGUAUUAGUUGGUUUGUCAGUUUGUCCAUGUGUGGAAUUUUUGUAGCUAUGAACUGUCCAAGUGUGGAAUUUGUGUAGCUAUGAACUGUCCAAGUGUGGAACUUUUGUAGCUAUGAACUGUCCAAGAGUGGAAUUUUUGUAGCUAUGAACUGGUGUUAGUUGUAAUUAUGUCCAUUGGUGGAUUGUUGUUUGUGGUGUUUUCAUUCUAUCAUAAGAUCUGUCCAGUACAGAUGUUUGCGACUUAUUUCUAUGUUUAUUUCAUAAGUGAAACAAUGGAUGGUGAUAAAAGCAGUCAAAAGGCAGUGUGAGAUACCGAUGCGGCAAGGAUUUUUUGUGAGAUUGCUUGCAAAGAGGCCAACGAGGGAAAUAGGCCUACCAAGACUUUGAGUGUUACAGGUUAUAAAAAGUUUCAUAAACAAACUGGAAGGCUUUAUACCCGUAAGCAAUUCAAAAACCGUAGAGAUGAAUUGAAAAGCAUCUGGACAGCAUGGGUGUAUUAUAUGACAAAGGCUACUGGACUUGGAUGGGAUCCUGUUAAAAACACUAUAACAGCUAGUGAAGAGGAGUGGGCUGACCUAAUCAAGGAUAUUAGAUGUUUUCGAAAAGGGCCCCCGGACAACUUGGAAUGGCUAGAGAAAAUGUUCCAAAAAGUUAGUGUGACCGGCAAUUCCUCGGUGAUGCCCGGAGCUAAAGACGAUGACAUUGAUGAACGCCAAGAUGUCGAUGGUAUUGUUGACUUGUAGGCUGGCGAUGAAGGAACCCCUCAACCUAGUCCUUUGCAUGUGCCAAAAAUGAAGCGUGGGGUGGGGGGGGCAAAGUGCCAUACCUUGCAGUCCAAAGAGGCCCAAGAAAGAUCCUUAUGGAAAGGAUUUCAAAAGAUUUGUUGAUCCUGUCAUUAGUGAGGAGAAAUCAUGUGCAUCUAGCAAUGUGUCGGUUGCUAAUGAUAUUGAUGCCAUCAUGGAGGAAGUUGUCAAGUGUGGGGCACCUGAGACAAGUGAUGAGUGCUAUAUUGCUACAAAGUUGUUUGGUAAACUUGAAAAUAGAUGUUUCUUUUAUGCUAUGAAGACUACUGAUGGGAGGCUCAAGUGGUUGAAGAGGCAGUAUGAAGACAGGAAGAGGCAUUAGAACAUGAUUCACUUGUGUGUUGUAUCCUUUAUUUUAUUUGAGACUAGUAUGUGUGCUGCUACUAUUUGUUUAUUUGAGACUAUUGUGUGUGUGUGCUGGUACUAUUUAUUAAUUGGAGACUGGUGUAUGUGCUGCUACUAUUUGAGACUAUUGUGUGUGUGCUGCUACUAUUUGAUUGCUUGAGACUGGUGUAUGUGCUGCUAUUAUUUGA